AGUGAACGCUGGCGGCGUGCCUAACACAUGCAAGUCGAACGAUGAUGGAGGAGCUUGCUCUUCCUGAUUAGUGGCGCACGGGUGAGUAAUGCAUAGAUAAUGUGCCCCUUAGUUCGGGAUAGCCACUGGAAACGGUGAUUAAUACCGGAUACUCCUUCUUACUACAAGGUAAGUCGGGAAAGUUUUUCGCUAAGGCAUCAGUCUAUGUCCCAUCAGUUUGUUGGUGAGGUAAUGGCUCACCAAGACUAUGACGGGUAUCUGGUUUGAGAGGAUGAUCAGACACACUGGAACUGAGACACGGUCCAGACUCCUACGGGAGGCAGCAGUGAGGAAUAUUGCACAAUGGAGGAAACUCUGAUGCAGCAACGCCGCGUGGAGGAUGACGCAUUUCGGUGUGUAAACUCCUUUUAAGAGGGAAGAUUAUGACGGUACCUCUUGAAUAAGCACCGGCUAACUCCGUGCCAGCAGCCGCCGUAAUAC
rnacentral:rRNA from 1 species